rnacentral:rRNA from 1 species
UGAGAGAUAGUGGCGAACGGUGAGUAACACGUGGGUAACCUGCCCAUAAGAGGGGGAUAACAUCCGGAAACGGGUGCUAAUACCGCAUAGUUUUUCUUGAUCACAUGAUUGAGAAAGGAAAGACGGCCUUUGUGCUGUCGCUUUAUGGAUGGACCCGCGGCGUAUUAGUUAGUUGGUGAGGUAACGGCUCACCAAGACGAUGAUACGUAGCCGACCUGAGAGGGUGAUCGGCCACAUUGGGACUGAGACACGGCCCAAACUCCUACGGGAGGCAGCAGUAGGGAAUCUUCCGCAAUGGACGAAGUCUGACGGAGCAACGCCGCGUGAGUGAAGAAGGUUUUUCCGGAUCGUAAAACUCUGUUGUCAGAGAAGAACAAGUUGGAGAGUAACUGCUCCAGCCUUGACGGUAUCUGACCAGAAAGCCACGGCUAACUACGUGCCAGCAGCUGC